rnacentral:rRNA from 1 species
AGAGUUUGAUCCUGGCUCAGGAUGAACGCUGGCGGCGUGCUUAAGACAUGCGAGUCGAACGAUGAUCCCAGCUUGCUGGGGGAUUAGUGGCGAACGGGUGAGUAACACGUGAGUAACCUGCCCUUAACUCUGGGAUAAGCCUGGGAAACUGGGUCUAAUACCGGAUAUGACUCCUCAUCGCAUGGUGGGGGGUGGAAAGCUUUAUUGUGGUUUUGGAUGGACUCGCGGCCUAUCAGCUUGUUGGUGAGGUAAUGGCUCACCAAGGCGACGACGGGUAGCCGGCCUGAGAGGGUGACCGGCCACACUGGGACUGAGACACGGCCCAGAAUCCUACGGGAGGCAGCAGUGGGGAAUAUUGCACAAUGGGCGAAAGCCUGAUGCAGCGACGCCGCGUGAGGGAUGACGGCCUUCGGGUUGUAAACCUCUUUCAGUAGGGAAGAAGCGAAAGUGACGGUACCUGCAGAAGAAGCGCCGGCUAACUACGUGCCAGCAGCGCCGGUAAU